GCUAGCGUUGCUCGGAAUCACUGGGCGUAAAGGGUGCGUAGGCGGGUCUUUAAGUCAGGGGUGAAAUCCUGGAGCUAAACUCCAGAACUGCCUUUGAUACUGAAGAUCUUGAGUUCGGGAGAGGUGAGUGGAACUGCGAGUGUAGAGGUGAAAUUUGUAGAUAUUCGCAAGAACACCAGUGGCGAAGGCGGCUCACUGGCCCGAUACUGACGCUGAGGCACGAAAGCGUGGGGAGCAAACAGG
rnacentral:rRNA from 1 species